AUAAUUUCAAUAGGUAUAUAACCUAGCUAAGCCUUAGAUUCGAGAGGAAUGUGCAUGCAUUGUACAUGAUGCAAAUUAUUUGACAAGUUUUAUUGAAUAUAGAUAGCAUUACAAGGCAACAACAUGCAUGUAUAGUAUAACAUAAUAAGCAUUUAAAAGAAACAUGAAGUCAACGAUAUAAACCACACGAAUUAAGAAGCCAAAAGAGUACAUGACAUGACAUGAGUUCAAUAUUGGUAGGUAGGUAAAACAAGUAGUUGAUCAUCGGUCGUCCCAAAGAGCUAGGAGCACUAUUGGAACCUCGAUCAUUUCACCACCCACCCCCACCACCACCACUUCCACCUCCGCCAGCUCUGUGAUCACCAUUAUACCCACGAUCACCAGUACUCUUUUUAGUUACUGCGGCUUUAUAAGUAGUAGUGCUGUUGUUCUUUUCACGGCUUUCGACAUUUUUUUGAGGCGGAGGCGUGACAGUAGUGGGAGGCAUAGUUUUUUUCUUCUUGCCGCAUAGACACCACAUUGUUAAAACUGCAUGCCACGGCCAAAAUAUCAAAUGGUAGAAUGGCAAUAACAAUUUAUGCUUUCGAUCGGUUUCUUUGUAAUUCAGAAAAUAAGGUUGGACUUUUUUCUGUAUUUAUAUAUAACAUUA
rnacentral:lncRNA from 1 species